AAUUGCAGAAUCCCGUGAACCAUCGAGUCUUUGAACGCAAGUUGCGCCCUAAGCCAUUAGGCCGAGGGCACGUCUGCCUGGGUGUCACGCAUCGUCGCCCCCUCCCCAAAACCCCUCGCCUCGCGGGGCGGUGCCCGAGGGGAGGGGGGCGGAUACUGGCCUCCCGUGCGCUUCGCCGCCCGCGGUUGGCCCAAAAUCGAGUCCCGCGGCGUGGAGCGCCGUGACAAACGGUGGUUGGCCUGAUCCAAAGACCUCGAUACACCGUCACGCGCGCCCGUCGCCGCCGAGGUGGUGCUCCACCGACCCUAACCCUUCGCAUCGCGACCCCAGGUCAGGCGGGACUACCCGCUGAGUUUA
rnacentral:rRNA from 1 species